rnacentral:rRNA from 1 species
GGGUUGUAAAACUCUGUGAUCCGGGACGAAAAGGCAGAGUGCGAAGAACAAACUGCAUUGACGGUACCGGAAAAGCAAGCCACGGCUAACUACGUGCCAGCAGCCGCGGUAAUACGUAGGUGGCAAGCGUUGUCCGGAAUUAUUGGGCGUAAAGCGCGCGCAGGCGGCUUCCCAAGUCCCUCUUAAAAGUGCGGGGCUUAACCCCGUGAUGGGAAGGAAACUGGGAAGCUGGAGUAUCGGAGAGGAAAGUGGAAUUCCUAGUGUAGCGGUGAAAUGCGUAGAGAUUAGGAAGAACACCGGUGGCGAAGGCGACUUUCUGGACGAAAACUGACGCUGAGGCGCGAAAGCGUGGGGAGCAAACAGGAUUAGAUACCCUGGUAGUCCACGCCGUAAACGAUGGAUACUAGGUGUAGGAGGUAUCGACCCCUCCUGUGCCGGAGUUCACGCAAUAAGUAUCCCGCCUGGGAA